rnacentral:rRNA from 1 species
UCGGCGAGCGGCGGACGGCUGAGUAACGCGUGGGAAUCUGCCCCAAAGUGAGGGAUAACUGCCCGAAAGGGUAGCUAAUACCGCAUAUGGUCUUCGGAUUAAAGCAUUUAUGCGCUUUGGGAGGAGCCCGCGUCGGAUUAGGUAGUUGGUAGGGUAAUGGCCUACCAAGCCGACGAUCCGUAGCUGGUCUGAGAGGAUGAUCAGCCAGACUGGGACUGAGACACGGCCCAG